GUUUCUCACCCACACCAAUUAUACUGCUUCAGAAGACAUGGAUUAAACCACUGGAUUCAUAUGGAUUACUUCCUUUCCUUUAUGAGAGUUUUGGAGCUGCAAAGGUCUGAUCAUCAUUCACUUGCAUUGUAAAGACCUACAGAGCUGAGAUAUUCUUCAAAAAAAUCUUUGUUUGUGUUCUGCUGAAGAAAGAAAGUCAUUCACAUCUGUGAUGAUUUGAGGGCGAGUAAAUGAUGAGAGAAUGUAAAUAUUUGGGUGAACUGUUGGUGAAAGGUCACAACUGGUUCUUCACAUACGUGUCAAAAUUGACCCUUAAAAACAAUGUUAGGAAUGUUUUAUAUUUCUCCUAAAUUAUUAUAUACAAAAAUAAAUUUUCUUUUAAAUUGUUUUUGUUUUGAUGAUCUUGAAAAUUUAACAAUAUUUGGUUAAAAAAAACUAUGCAGAAUUAUAAUGUAUUCUUUACUUGCCCUGGGUCAAAAACGACCCUAAGACAAUACAAGGGAUUAAAGCAACAAUUAAACAGUGAAAUGUCACCCUUGCUAAACUACUAUAAUCAAUCUUUCCAGGUGGACAGGUGGGCAGUUUUUUUAGUGCGGCCCUUUGACAGCACACCUGGAGACUAUUCACUGCACUUCCGAACCACAGAGGCCAUCCAGCGCUUCAAAAUCUGCCUCACACCCAGCAACCAGUUCAUGAUGGGAGGCCGCUACUACAACAGUAUUGAUGACAUCAUUGAACUCUACAGGAAGGGGCAGAUAGUUGAGGGUCACAACUUCAGAGGUGCUGUAUCUCUCCAGCAGCAGGAGCAGCUGCUCACCGACUUGGAUUGUUGGUGAAAAAUUCUACAACAAUAUCCGUCAAAAGACAAAGGAUGCUUUCUAUAAAAACAUUGUGAAGAAAAUCUAUAUCUUGUUUAAUAAAGGACUGGAUGAAAUGUCUGCAAACCUUUUGCAAUAAUCUUAGAAAACCAAGCCAGCUGUGCUCAAACAAACGCCUGCAUCAGGUCACAAGUUUAUUUCUGAAUGCUGAGGAGGCUCGCAAGACCUUCCUUCUCCCAUGGCAUCCCUGACACUCACCUUUAGUGGCUAAAGCCAUCCAGAAUCUGGCUAACCUGGUGGAAUUUGGAGCCAAUGUAAAAACAUGCACUUCAGAAUGUCCCUGAGCAGCCUGAACGCACAGAGCACUUUAACACUGAUCUGGCCCGUGACCUCGCCGCUCUACACCAGCUCUGUGUCACACAUUUAGAUGAACUGAGGACACUCAGCAAUGAGAGGGGAGCACAGCAGCUUUGGACCCACUGGCACCUUUAGCCCAUACUGUAUGAAGACAGCUCGCCUCAUCUCCAUGGAAACUCCAAUCAGCACAAGAGCUCAUCACACAUGACAGAUUUGUUAAAAGUGGGUGGACACAUCUCAUAACUGUGGAAAUUUGUGUGAUUUUUCUCUUUCAUAUCAUUAAAUGAUUUACAGUAUCUUUAUUUAGCUCAGGUGCUGGAAUGGUAGGUGGCAGACAAAGUGGCAUAAUUUCAGUGAUUAUUUUUGCAUGAACAUGCAUCAAACUCAUUCAUUAUUGCCUGUAGUGGGUCCGUGAGAAAUCUGGUGAGUAGCAAGCAGAGUACGGUAAUUAAUGAGAUUUCCAUUUCAGAGGUCAUUUUAUUUUCAUUUUAAUAUUAUUUAACACAGGUUAUUUCAUGUUCUCCCCAUCCAUUUGGUAAAAAAUACAAAUCCAUAGUAAUCAUAGUUUUCACCCAAAUACUAUAUAUACUACCUAGUAUAAUACUAUAAUAUAUAAUACUAUAGUAGUUAUUGUUUCUGCCUUAUAAUCAUAAUACAUUGAAAUGGGAUCUCCUUCAAAAUUGUAUGAUUUUAGAAUCUUUGUCAUUUCAUUU